AGUUUGAUCCUGGCUCAGAACGAACGCUGGCGGCAGGCUUAACACAUGCAAGUCGAACGCCCCGCAAGGGGAGUGGCAGACGGGUGAGUAACGCGUGGGAAUCUACCGUGCCCUGCGGAAUAGCUCCGGGAAACUGGAAUUAAUACCGCAUACGCCCUACGGGGGAAAGAUUUAUCGGGGUAUGAUGAGCCCGCGUUGGAUUAGCUAGUUGGUGGGGUAAAGGCCUACCAAGGCGACGAUCCAUAGCUGGUCUGAGAGGAUGAUCAGCCACAUUGGGACUGAGACACGGCCCAAACUCCUACGGGAGGCAGCAGUGGGGAAUAUUGGACAAUGGGCGCAAGCCUGAUCCAGCCAUGCCGCGUGAGUGAUGAAGGCCUUCGGGUUGUAAAGACUUUCAGCGGGGAGGAAGGCGGUGAGGUUAAUAACCUUGCCGAUUGACGUUACCCGCAGAAGAAGCACCGGCUAACUCCGUGCCAGCAGCCGCGGUAA
rnacentral:rRNA from 1 species